UCCCUGGUGGUCCAGUGGGUAAGACUCUGCGCUCCCAAUGCAGGAGACCUGGGUUUGAUCUCUGGUCAGAGAA
rnacentral:tRNA from 1 species